rnacentral:rRNA from 1 species
CAGUCGCCGCGGGAAUACGUAGGGUGCAAGCGUUAAUCGGAAUUACUGGGCGUAAAGCGUGCGCAGGCGGUCCGUUAAGACAGAUGUGAAAUCCCCGGGCUUAACCUGGGAACUGCAUUUGUGACUGGCGGGCUAGAGUAUGGCAGAGGGGGGUAGAAUUCCACGUGUAGCAGUGAAAUGCGUAGAGAUGUGGAGGAAUACCGAUGGCGAAGGCAGCCCCCUGGGCCAAUACUGACGCUCAUGCACGAAAGCGUGGGGAGCAAACAGGAUUAGAUACCCCUGUAGUCCCUGUCUCUUAUAC